GGGGUUGUAGCUCAGUGGUAGAGUGCUUACCUAGCGUGUGUGAGGCACUGGGUUUGAUUCUCAGCACCACA
rnacentral:tRNA from 1 species